GUUAGGGUUAGGGUUGGAGUUAGGGUUAGUGUUGGAGCUAGGGUUAGGGUUGGGCUUGGAGCUAGGAUUUUUCUGAGUGCACUGAACCAACUCCCGAGUCUCUAGGACAUUCCUAAAAAAAUUUGAUUUUUUCCCAUAGGAAUGCAUGGGUUAGGGUUAUGGUUAGGGUUAGGGUUGGAGCUAGGGUUAGGGUUAGGGUUAGGGUUGGAGUUAGGGUUAGUGUUGGAGCUAGGGUUAGGGUUGGGCUUGGAGCUAGGAUUUUUCUGAGUGCACUGAACCAACUCCCGAGUCUCUAGGACAUUCCUAAAAAAAUUGAUUUUUUUCCCAUAGGAAUGCAUGGGUUAGGGUUAUGGUUAGGGUUAGGGUUGGAGCUAGGGUUAGGGUUAGGGUUAGGGUUGGAGUUAGGGUUAGUGUUGGAGCUAGGGUUAGGGUUGGGCUUGGAGCUAGGAUUUUCUGAGUGCAAUGAACCAACUCCCGAGUCUCUAGGACGUUCCUAAAAAAAUUUGAUUUUUUCCCAUAGGAAUGCAUGGGUUAGGGUUAGGGUUAGGGUUGGAGCUAGGGUUAGGGUUAGGGUUAGGGUUGGAGUUAGGGUUAGUGUUGGAGCUAGGGUUAGGGUUGGGCUUGGAGCUAGGAUUUUUCUGAGUGCAAUGAACCAACUCCCGAGUCUCUAGGACGUUCCUAAAAAAAUUUGAUUUUUUCCCAUAGGAAUGCAUGGGUUAGGGUUAGGGUUAGGGUUGGAGCUAGGGUUAGGGUUAGGGUUAGGGUUGGAGUUAGGGUUAGUGUUGGAGCUAGGGUUAGGGUUGGGCUUGGAGCUAGGAUUUUUCUGAGUGCACUGAACCAACUCCCGAGUCUCUAGGACAUUCCUAAAAAAAUUGAUUUUUUCCCAUAGGAAUGCAUGGGUUAGGGUUAGGGUUAGGGUUGGAGCUAGGGUUAGGGUUAGGGUUAGGGUUGGAGUUAGGGUUAGUGUUGGAGCUAGGGUUAGGGUUGGGCUUGGAGCUAGGAUUUUUCUGAGUGCAAUGAACCAACUCCCGAGUCUCUAGGACGUUCCUAAAAAAAUUUGAUUUUUUCCCAUAGGAAUGCAUGGGUUAGGGUUAGGGUUAGGGUUGGAGCUAGGGUUAGGGUUAGGGUUAGGGUUGGAGUUAGGGUUAGUGUUGGAGCUAGGGUUAGGGUUGGGCUUGGAGCUAGGAUUUUUCUGAGUGCACUGAACCAACUCCCGAGUCUCUAGGACAUUCCUAAAAAAAUUUGAUUUUUCCCAUAGGAAUGCAUGGGUUAGGGUUAUUUAGGGUUAGGGUUGGAGCUAGGGUUAGGGUUAGGGUUAGGGUUGGAGUUAGGGUUAGUGUUGGAGCUAGGGUUAGGGUUGGGCUUGGAGCUAGGAUUUUUCUGAGUGCAAUGAACCAACUCCCGAGUCUCUAGGACGUUCCUAAAAAAAUUGAUUUUUUCCCAUAGGAAUGCAUGGGUUAGGGUUAGGGUUAGGGUUGGAGCUAGGGUUAGGGUUAGGGUUAGGGUUGGAUUUAGGGUUAGUUUUGGAGCUAGGGUUAGGGUUGGGCUUGGAGCUAGGAUUUUUCUGAGUGCACUGAACCAACUCCCGAGUCUCUAGGACAUUCCUAAAAAAAAUUGAUUUUUUCCCAUAGGAAUGCAUGGUUUAGGGUUAUGGUUAGGGUUAGGGUUGGAGCUAGGGUUAGGGUUAGGGUUAGGGUUGGAGUUAGGGUUAGUGUUGGAGCUAGGGUUAGGGUUGGGCUUGGAGCUAGGAUUUUUCUGAGUGCACUGAACCAACUCCCGAGUCUCUAGGACAUUCCUAAAAAAAAUUGAUUUUUUUCCCAUAGGAAUGCAUGGGUUAGGGUUAUGGUUAGGGUUAGGGUUGGAGCUAGGGUUAGGGUUAGGGUUAGGGUUGGAGUUAGGGUUAGUGUUGGAGCUAGGGUUAGGGUUGGGCUUGGAGCUAGGAUUUUUCUGAGUGCAAUGAACCAACUCCCGAGUCUCUUGGACGUACCUAAAAAAAAUUGAUUUUUUCCCAUAGGAAUGCAUGGGUUAGGGUUAGGGUUAGGGUUGGAGCUAGGGUUAGGGUUAGGGAUAGGGUUGGAGUUAGGGUUAGUGUUGGAGCUAGGGUUAGGGUUGGGCUUGGAGCUAGGAUUUUUCUGAGUGCAAUGAACCAACUCCCGAGUCUCUAGGACGUUCCUAAAAAAAUUUGAUUUUUUCCCAUAGGAAUGCAUGGGUUAGGGUUAGGGUUAGGGUUGGAGCUAGGGUUACGGUUAGGGUUAGGGUUGGAGUUAGGGUUAGUGUUGGAGCUAGGGUUAGUGUUGGGCUUGGAGCUAGGACUUUUCUGAGUGCAAUGAACCAACUCCCGAGUCUCUAGGACGUUCCCUAAAAAAAAUUGAUUUUUUCCCAUAGGAAUGCAUGGGUUAGGGUUAGGGUUAGGGUUGGAGCUAGGGUUAGGGUUAGGGAUAGGGUUGGAGUUAGGGUUAGUGUUGGAGCUAGGGUUAGGGUUGGGCUUGGAGCUAGGAUUUUUCUGAGUGCAAUGAACCAACUC